UACGGAAGGUCCGGGCGUUAUCCGGAAUCAUUGGGUUUAAAGGGAGCGUAGGCCGCAUGUCAAGCGUGCUGUGAAAUCCCGGGGCUCAACCCCGGAAGCGCAGCGCGAACUGGCGUGCUUGAGUUGCAUCGAGGCAGGCGGAAUUCGUGGUGUAGCGGUGAAAUGCUUAGAUAUCACGAAGAACCCCGAUUGCGAAGGCAGCCUGCCAGUUGCACACUGACGCUGAUGCUCGAAGGCGCGGGUAUCGAACAGG
rnacentral:rRNA from 1 species